rnacentral:rRNA from 1 species
CCCUUAGACGUUCUGGGCCGCACGCGCGCUACACUGACCAGUGCAACAAGCAUCCGUCCUUGGCCGACAGGCCCGGGCAAUCUUUGAACGCUGGUCGUGAUGGGGAUAGACUUUUGCAAUUUUUGGUCUUCAACGAGGAGUUCCUAGUAAACGCAAGUCAUCAACUUGCAUUGAUUACGUCCCUGCCCUUUGUACACACCGCCCGUCGCACCUACCGAUUGAAUGGUCCGGUGAAGCCUCCGGAUUGGCGCGCACCUCGGUGCCGCCGAGAAGUUGGCUAAACCUUACCAUUUAGAGGAAGGUGAAGUCGUAACA